UCCCACUGCUCAGCAAUGUGAGGUUACAGAUCCCUGAUGCUAACACAUGGUGCUUCAUUGUGUGCUCACACAGUAUGGAGCUGUUAUGCUCUCCAGUAAUGAGUUGCUACUGGAAGCAUCAACCGUGAUGGUGGGGAGAUGAGUCCUUUUCAGUGGAAGAGGGAGGAAGGAAGGAGGAUUCUUUUCCUCCCCUAUUGCAUCACAGGACAAGUUCUCUUCACUGGAUGACCUGUGCAAAUUAACUUGGUUGGCAAAUUGUGGGGUUGGCUGUCUGAAUCCUCACAAUUUUCUGCCAGGAAACUUCUCCAGAUGUUAUUUCUGUUCUUCCUGCCACUCUUACUUCUGUGUCAGCAGCUGCUCAAGCCUGGAAGCAGUCACCAUCUCACAGAACACAGCCUUUUGCAAGUGAGAAGACAGUGGAACCUUCACUGCUAUUUUUGUGUGUGGUAAGGGCAACUGAGCAGCUUACUGUGAGAUGAAGCAAGAGGUUGAACAGAAGACAGGCUUGAUGACUUCUCUAACCUCUCCCAUGACAUUCUGUACACCAUACGUCUGAUGGAGUAGAGGAUCAAGAAAGUGCCAAGAUAUCAUUUGAAAAGGAAACAGUAGAUAUCAGAUGGAUUUUCAGGCCCAGGAUAUAUGGCAGUGCCUUUCCCAUCAACGUAUCUUCGUGUGUUUGACCACAUAAAAGAUAAUGCAAAAUAAAGCCCAGUAUUUUGG